CAAAGGUAAAACUGUUGUUCUCCACCGGUGAUGAAACCCCAUUUCUGAAAGUGAUGCCUCAGGACCCCCUGCAUGUGUCAUAACUCAUAAGGAUGUGUUGUUUUCUGUUUCUUCGUACAGGGCACUUGGAUCUUCGACAGAUCUGAGAGGAAAUGGUGUUCCAGCUUCAGAUCCAGUAAGAAAAUGCAAGAGACAUCUCAAAGUGUUUGAUCUAUGAAUCUUUGCACCAUUGAGUAUUUAAGUGAGACAUAGUCUGGUUCAUGAAAGGCAUAUGCUGAGUAAUACUCUGUUCUGGUAUAUGUAGGAACCCCAAUGUGGCUUCGGUGCAGCAAUGAUAAAGUACAUGAACCACGCAGACAUCUCGAAAUCUGUUGUCCAUAUGAAGGAUAGGCAGAUCAAUAAUAGAUCCGAGUGAAAGAAAAGGAAUACACCCGCUUCAGUAAACAAGAACAGUAAGAGCGUCUAAAAGGCCUGAUUGGUGCAUAUGGGAGGUCCCCAGAAAAUAAAGACUGCAGAAAAGUCCCCUGCAAAGAAGGAACCCACAGCAAAUUUUUCUCUCUACGUCCUCUCCCUAAAGUUUGUUCAAGUUUUGGACUGCACUGUUGAAUGGGUGUUGACCAUGCACAGAUUAUCUUUGUAAUCAGCAUUGUACUGUUGUAAUCUGUAAAAAUAAAAUAAAAACAAAUUUUUAUUUUA